AUUGGGAUAACUGGGUCAAAUGGUGGUUCCAUUCCAACUCUGAGUAUUCUCCAAACUGCUUUUCAGAGUGAUUGCACCAAUUUGCAGUCCCACCAGCAAU
rnacentral:pre_miRNA from 1 species